AUGUGUGUGUGUGUGUGUGUAGAUAAUCUUCGAUUCUUCCUGAUCGUGAUGCCAGGUUCAACAUUCAAAAAGUGCUGUGCAUGUGGUGGAGACAUCAGGGUGGCACGUCGCAAAUGUGACUUGUGUGGGGCAGCACAGCAACUGAAAAAAAAACUGGAGUCGCAGAAAGAUCACUACAAUGACAACUGGGCUCGAAACACCCUGAAGGGAAACAAUGUUGCCAAGGUUCUUAAUACUGCCCAUUUACUGAUCCACAAGCUGGAAAAGCUGGGGAUGGUCUCUUUGAUCCUUGUGGGACGCCCUAACAAUCCCUCCAUUGGCUGGUCUGAUGUUCUGUGUCCUCAGGACUUCAAAGACCAACAGGCCAAAACUGUGGAAGAGAUUAAAUUGAUAUUUGACACUGCCAUGAAAGCUUUACAUGAAAAAAUUACUCAAGAGGUGGCCCCAACCCCAGUCGAAGAUUGGCCACCACCCCAUUACAACCACACAUGUCUCCCACCUCCACCCCUCUGUAGCAGCAUAGCUAACGCUGAUGUCGGGACCUUGACAAAGUUGACAGUUUUUCUAAACGAGCGAUUACCAACAGUGGCUGCCGUGGAAAAAACGGUGUCGGAGUACCAGGAAGAAAUUUCCCGUUCAAAGGAGGAGAUCGAUCGUCUACGAAGGCUGCUGGAUUUGGCUUUCAAACCCGACAUAAAGUUACAUAUUGCAGGUUAG
rnacentral:lncRNA from 8 species